GACGAACGCUGGCGGCGUGCUUAACACAUGCAAGUCGAACGGAAAGACCCUGCUUUUGUGGGGUGCUCGAGUGGCGCACGGGUGAGUAACACGUGAGUAACCUGCCCUUGACUUUGGGAUAACUUCAGGAAACUGGGGCUAAUACCGGAUAUGAGCUCCUGCUGCAUGGUGUGGGUUGGUAAGUUUCGGCGGUUGGGGAUGGACUCGCGGCUUAUCAGCUUGUUGGUGGGGUAGUGGCUUACCAAGGCUUUGACGGGUAGCCGGCCUGAGAGGUUUACCGGAGACAUGGGGACUGAGAUACGGCCCAGACGCCUACGGGAGGCAGCAGGGGGGAAUAUUGCACAAUGGGCGGAAGCCUGAUGCAGCAACGCCGCGUGCGGGAUGACGGCCUUCGGGUGGUAAACCGCUGUCUCCGGUGACGAAGCGUGAGUGACGGUAAUGGGUAAAGAAGCACCGGCUAACUACGUG
rnacentral:rRNA from 1 species